rnacentral:lncRNA from 1 species
CCACCUGCUAAGGGCAAGAAGAACAACGAGGAGCGAGAGGACCGCCGUACCCUUGGCCUUGUUCUUCUCCGGGGUGAAGAGGUCAUUUCCAUGACUGUUGAAGGUCCUCCUCCUCCUGAAGAGUCACGCGCCAAGGCUGUCUCUGCUACUGCUAUUGCUGGUCCUGGAAUUGGUCGUGCAGCUGGUCGUGGAAUACCUACUGCUCCUCUUGUUCAGGCUCAGCCUGGUCUUGCUGGUCCGGUUCGUGGUGUUGGUGGACCUGCACCUGGUAUGAUGCAGCCGCAGCUCUCUCGUCCUCCGCAUCCACAACUUUCUGCUCCGCCUAUGACUUAUCCAGCACAGGGUCCGCCUGGUAGCGCCCCGCCUGUUAUAAGGCCUCCUGGUCAGAUGCCUCCUCCGCCUUAUCCUGGGCAGGCUCCACCAAUGGGUCGGGGUCCACCUCCAAAUGUUCCACCUCAGUUUGCAGCUCGACCACCACAACAGGGGUACCCCAUGCCACCACCGCAGUUUGGACAGAGACCAAUGGGAAUGCCACCACAGCCGCAAGCGCCCAUGAUGAGAGGACCUCCGGCUCCGCCAAGACCUGGAAUGCAAAA